rnacentral:rRNA from 1 species
AUUGAACGCUGGCGGCAUGCCUUACACAUGCAAGUCGAACGGUAACAGGUCUUCGGAUGCUGGCGAGUGGCGAACGGGUGAGUAAUACAUCGGAACGUGCCCGAUCGUGGGGGAUAACGAAGCGAAAGCUUUGCUAAUACCGCAUACGAUCUACGGAUGAAAGCAGGGGACCGCAAGGCCUUGCGCGAACGGAACGGCCGAUGGCAGAGUAGGUAGUUGGUGGGAUAAAAGCUUACCAAGCCGACGAUCUGUAGCUGGUCUGAGAGGACGACCAGCCACACUGGGACUGAGACACGGCCCAGACUCCUACGGGAGGCAGCAGUGGGGAAUUUUGGACAAUGGGCGAAAGCCUGAUCCAGCCAUGCCGCGUGCAGGAUGAAGGCCUUCGGGUUGUAAACUGCUUUUGUACGGAACGAAAAGACUCUGGUUAAUACCUGGGGUCCAUGACGGUACCGUAAGAAUAAGCACCGGCUAACUACGUGCCAGCCGCCGCGGUAAAAC